rnacentral:rRNA from 1 species
UACAGAGGUCCCAAGCGUUGUUCGGAUUCACUGGGCGUAAAGGGUGCGUAGGCGGUCGGGUAAGUCUGACGUGAAAUCUUCAAGCUCAACUUGGAAACUGCGUCGGAUACUAUUCGGCUAGAGGAAUGGAGGGGAGACUGGAAUACUUGGUGUAGCAGUGAAAUGCGUAGAUAUCAAGUGGAACACCAGUGGCGAAGGCGAGUCUCUGGACAUUUCCUGACGCUGAGGCACGAAAGCCAGGGGGGCAAACGGG